GACGAACGCUGGCGGCGCGCCUAAUACAUGCAAGUCGAGCGAAGUUUUUCUGGUGCUUGCACUAGAAAAACUUAGCGGCGAACGGGUGAGUAACACGUAAAGAACCUGCCUCAUAGACUGGGACAACUAUUGGAAACGAUAGCUAAUACCGGAUAACAGCAUUAACUGCAUGGUUGAUGUUUGAAAGUUGGUUUUGCUAACACUAUGAGAUGGCUUUGCGGUGCAUUAGCUAGUUGGUGGGGUAAAAGCCUACCAAGGCGACGAUGCAUAGCCGACCUGAGAGGGUGAUCGGCCACACUGGGACUGAGACACGGCCCAGACUCCUACGGGAGGCAGCAGUAGGGAAUCUUCCGCAAUGGGCGAAAGCCUGACGGAGCAACGCCGCGUGAGUGAAGAAGGAUUUCGAUUCGUAAAGCUCUGUUGUUAGGGAAGAAUGAUUAUGUAGUAACUAUACAUAGUAGAGACGGUACCUAACCAGAAAGCCAC
rnacentral:rRNA from 1 species